CUCGUUAACCAGCUCACUUAUUUAAUGAUUAACGUUGAUGGUUUGAUUAUCCUCGUUGCACACACCUGAUUCUCGUUAAUUAUAGAUCUAAGUCUUACUAAACCUCAUUCCACACCUGUCGUUAAUUACAUACAGCACUCGUUAACCAGGUCACAUAUAUUGGAGAUUAACGUUGAUGGUUGUGAAUAUCCUCGUUACACACCCACCUGAUUCUCGUUAAUUAUAGAUCUAAGUUUUGUUAAUCAUCCCACACACCUGCACUUCUCAUUAACUCCUCACACACCUGUUCGUCGUUAAUUACCUCCACGCACACCUGUUCGUCGUUAAUUACCUCCUCACACACCUGUUCGUCGUUAAUUACCUCCUCACACACCUGUUCGUCGUUAAUUACCUCCUCACACACCUGUUCGUCGUUAAUUACCUC